rnacentral:sRNA from 1 species
AAGGAACCGAUUUCGCAUACUUGCGAGAGU